rnacentral:rRNA from 1 species
CCUACGGGGUGCAGCAGUGAGGAAUAUUGGUCAAUGGGCGUGAGCCUGAACCAGCCAAGUCGCGUGAGGGAAGACGGUCCUAUGGAUUGUAAACCUCUUUAGGCGGGGAGCAAUGCCGGGCACGCGUGCCCGGAGGGAGAGUCCCCGCAGCAUAAGCAUCGGCUAACUCCGUGCCAGCAGCCGCGGUAAUACGGAGGAUGCGAGCUUUAUCCGGAUGUAUUGGGUUUACAGGGUGAGUAGGCGGAUUUUUAAGUAAGCGGUAAAAGGUCCGGGAUAAACCCGGGCCUGCCGUUGAAACUGGAGAUCUUGAGUGGGCGAGACGUAUGCGGAAUGCGUGGUGUAGCGGUGACAUGCAUAGAUAUCACGCAGAACUCCGAUUGCGAAGGCAGCAUACCGGCGCCCGACUGACGCUGAGGCACGAAAGCGUGGGGAUCGAACAGGAUUAGAUACCCUUGUAGUC